GUCUGGAAUAUUGCGCAAUGGAGGAAACUCUGACGCAGCAACGCCGCGUGAGGGACGAAGGCUUUCGAGUUGUAAACCUCUUUUGCGAGGGAAGAAGAUCUGACGGUACCUCGCGAAUAAGCCCCGGCCAACUCCGUGCCAGCAGCCGCGGUAAGACGGAGGGGGCGAGCGUUGUUCGGAAUCACUGGGCGUAAAGGGCGCGCAGGCGGUAAGUUAAGUCAGGUGUUACAUCCCAGGGCACAACCUUGGACCGGCGCCUGAAACUGGCUCACUAGAGUACGGGAGAGGAGAGUGGAAUUCCCAGUGUAGCGGUGAAAUGCAUAGAUAUUGGGAGGAACACCAGUGGCGAAGGCGACUCUCUGGCCCGUUACUGACGCUCAGGUGCGAAAGCCAGGGGAGCGAACGGG
rnacentral:rRNA from 1 species